rfam:Morus notabilis contig19175, whole genome shotgun sequence.
GAGUAUAAUGUGGUUUUGGAAUAAAAUUGGAAUAAUAGAGAGAUGAUUUGCAUGCCAUGCGGAAGGAUGACAAGCAAAAAUUCGAGAAAUGGUCCAUAGUUUU